AUGUACUGAGUUGGGUCGGGAGGUUACUGGGUAGCCUCAGCAACAUUUGAUGCAGCAAAUGAAUACAAGUUUAAGCGGUGGUGCAGGGUGUAAGGUGGGGUCAUUGGGUUUAAGAGGUGGACGUCGGGUGGAGGGAGCGGCCAUUACGGGUGCUGCCGUUGGCGGCGGUGGAAGUGGGUAGAUUGAAUCUUUGAUGAUUGUGUGCAAACCGCAUAUGAAAAUGAUCAAAUCUUUGAUGGUGUUGUGAAAACCCCUGUUGAAAAGAUUGAAUAUUUGAUGGUUGUUAUGAAAAUCCCAGUUGAGAAAACAGGGUUUUGGUGAUUGGGUAAUGGUGAUCUUGAAACACGAUUUGGAGAUUAUAAGAACAACACCAACUGUUUGUGUGUGUAAAUUGGGAGUAGAUAUAGGUGUAUUAGUAUGCGAGGAUUUGAGAUAGGAAUAAAAUUGAUCUAAAAUUACUAAAUUAGUGAAUAUAAUAGAAUAGAUCUGGGUGAUGGCUAGUAAUGGUUUUUGACAGUGGUGGUUGUGAAUUGGUGAUGAUUGUUGGUGGCGAACGGUAGAGAGAGGGGUGGUGGGUGGCGGUUGUUUGUGGUGGUUGAUGGUGGAC
rnacentral:lncRNA from 1 species